GCUUACGGCCACACCGGCCUGAGUACGCCUGAUCUCGUCCGAUCUCGGAAGCUAAGCAGGGUCGGGCCUGGUUAGUACUUGGUUGGGAGACCGCCUGGGAAUACCAGGUGCUGUAAGCU
rnacentral:rRNA from 1 species